rnacentral:rRNA from 1 species
UACAGAGGGUGCAAGCGUUGUUCGGAAUUAUUGGGCGUAAAGCGCGUGUAGGCGGCUUGGCAAGUCGGGUGUGAAAUCCCUCAGCUUAACUGAGGAAGUGCGCCCGAAACUGCCGAGCUUGAGUACCGGAGAGGGUGGCGGAAUUCCCCAAGUAGAGGUGAAAUUCGUAGGUAUGGGGAGGAACACCGGUGGCGAAGGCGGCCACCUGGACGGAUACUGACGCUGAGACGCGAAAGCGUGGGGAGCAAACAGG